rnacentral:tRNA from 1 species
UAGAAAUUAGUUAAAAUUUAAUAACAUAAACUUGUCAUGUUUAAGUAGGAAACCCCAUUUCUAA